rnacentral:rRNA from 1 species
GUGGGGAAUCUUGCGCAAUGGGCGAAAGCCUGACGCAGCCAUGCCGCGUGAAUGAUGAAGGUCUUAGGAUUGUAAAAUUCUUUCACCGGGGACGAUAAUGACGGUACCCGGAGAAGAAGCUCCGGCUAACUUCGUGCCAGCAGCCGCGGUAAUACGAAGGGGGCUAGCGUUGCUCGGAAUUACUGGGCGUAAAGGGCGCGUAGGCGGACAGCUUAGUCAGAGGUGAAAGCCCUGGGCUCAACCUUGGAAUUGCCUUUGAUACUGGCUGUCUUGAGUUUGGGAGAGGUGAGUGGAACUCCGAGUGUAGAGGUGAAAUUCGUGGAUAUUCGGAAGAACACCAGUGGCGAAGGCGACUCACUGGCCCAAUACUGACGCUGAGGCGCGAAAGCGUGGGGAGCAAACAGGAUUAGAAACCCUAGUAGUCC